GAUAAACGCUGGCGGCGUGCAUGAGGCAUGCAAGUCGAACGGGACGAUCGAGGCUUGCUUCGAUCGUUAGUGGCGGACGGCUGAGUAACGCGUAGGUGACCUGCCCCGAAGUGGGGAAUAACUGCCCGAAAGGGUGGCUAAUACCGCAUGUGGUGGUGUGUUCAAUCACACCAGUAAAGCCGCAAGGCGCUUCGGGAGGGGCCUGCGUCCGAUUAGCUCGUUGGUGGGGAACGGCUCACCAAGGCGACGAUCGGUAGGUGGUCUGAGAGGACGAUCACCCAGACUGGGACUGAGACACGGCCCAGACUCCUACGGGAGGCAGCAGUCGGGAAUUUUGCGC
rnacentral:rRNA from 1 species